rnacentral:lncRNA from 1 species
GUGUGUGAAAAGGUAUACUGUAAUAUGUCUUUUAAGUGCCCAGCUUAAAAACAAAUUCUUCAUGGGAUAAAUAAUAAAAACAUACAAAAUGACCAACAGUUUAUUUUAAUUGUACAACCAGGUCUAAGGAUAACAUAAUAGUUGCAUGCACUGUCAUGCUGAGAAAUUAUCUCCCCUUAAAAGUUUUACAAAAUAACAAAUGAGUAUUUCUGAAAUAGAAAAAUCGUAGAGUAACUACGUAUUUUCUUAUUUUCUUGAAAGUAUCCGUAAUUGGCAAUAAAGGCACUCAAUGGUAAUACAAUGUUAUUUCUUUUCACAUAAUCAACUUUUCUUCCCUGAAUUACUUACAAUAAUACUGUAAUAGUAUAUGAAAAAAAAUGUAGCUUAAAAUAAGCCAGGCAACAUGAUCCCCUCCCUUUUAAAAAUGUAUAAAACAUCACGAAAUAAACAACAUUUUGGUGAAACAUAAAACUAAUAUUGUUUUAAUUUACUCACCUCUAUUUUUAGUCUGUUUAAAUGCAGUAGCUUUUUUCAAUUAUUUUGUUCUCCUUAAAAUAACAUUCUGGGGCUAUUUUCACAAAAAAAUCUUAUGACUAAAUGUGAUUGCAAGUUAUAUUGAAAUGUUCAUAACUUACAAGUAAUUUUUUUUGAAAAUGCUACAAACAGGCACUUUUCAAAAAUAUAAUAAGGCAUUUAUUUUACUUUAUUUCCCCAAAUAAAUUAUGUGAUUAUGCAUAUAAACAGAUCAACUAUCAUGUAUAAACAAACAAAAACACUACAAACAAAAGUAAAUAUAUACACAACCUCAUGUGUCAUAAAAUUGCAAAAUUUUCCAGCCAUUGAUUACAUGAAGUGACUAUAGUAUUUAAACACUUAUUCUCCCUUGAAUACAUUAUUAAAAAUUAUUAGAUUCUGAUAAGUUACUUUUUAAAAGCUUAACUUUUCAUGUAUUUUUUGUGUUAAAAAUAUUUCCCAUUUCUGAUCAUGAAAAAGCACUAGAACAAAAUUGUGAUUCUGGGAUGUAAUAAAAAAUACAUCAAAUACUAAGCAAGAUCAAUUGUAAAGAAAUGAUCUUAGAGAAACAGCACCAUUUAAACAUCAUAAGAAGCACCAAUAAUGAGAUUUCAAAAUAUUUCAAAAUAUUUAUGCACCUAAUACUGCACUAUAUAAUUGUAUUCAAUAAAAGAAUGGACAGACCCCUAUCUACUGACUAGAUAACAUAUCUACAAAAAAUAUACAUAAAAGAAUCUCAUUUUGUGGCAAAAUGUUUCAUUUACAUGACAUUGUUUGAAACAGGAUCAAAAACAAUUUUUAAACUACACUAUAUUAUGUGUCUGUAAGAUGCAGAUCCACCCAAUUAAAAGGACUAUGUCAAAGAGAUACAAAUAUGGAACUAGAUGAACCAGUCAAGCAUAAAAUGUAUGUCAUGAUGAUAAAAUUGUUGAAGAAAAACAUUUUUACAAAAAAAUAAAACGAAAGUGACAAAAUCAACCAUUACAAAUAUAUGUAGAGCAGAUCUAGAUAUAAAUAGGCUUCAUAACAGAAGUUACUCAAGCAUGAUAUAUAGGUCAUAGUUACCAAAAUAUUCUGCUUCAUUUAAAUAUAAUUUAUUAAAUUUCUUCUAUAACAAUUAUCUGUUGCAUUGUAAUAUCAAGUAAAGCUGUUUUGAGGCGUUGACCUUAACGCAAAUAUUUUGAAUACUUAAUUCUGGUUAUCCGAAUGUUUUAGAAAUGUAUUACAUUGUGUAAGAGCAUUGUGACCUCAUUGUUAAAGAAUUGUAUAGCAUUGAAUAAGAAAUGGAGCAUGCAAUAUUACAUUACAGAUCAACAAAUGCAUGUUAAUCAUCAUUGAACACAUUAACAAACACACAUACAUUAUCACUGAACAUGUCAACAAAAACAUGUUAAUCAUCACCGAAAUUGUCAACAAACACAUAUACAUCAUUGAACAUGUAAAAAAAACACACAAACAUCAUAAGACAUGUCAUUAAACACGUCAUCAAAACCAAUUAACGUUACAGUACCCAAAUUGCACCUAUUCAACAAAAAUAGCUACAAAAUCUUACAAGUUUUCUUUGAGACUAAGCAAUUUGCAUUUUGAAAGUUGACAUUAUACAUGUCUUUCAACAUAGCUGAAUAUAUUUAAAUAUUAUCAAUAGAUAAAACACUCACUUGAAAAAUUAAAUCUACGGAAACGUUGCAUGGCGACGUUCCAUGCUACAUUUUCAAAAAGUCAUCUUUUAAAAAUGAGAAAAUAAAAUAUGUAACAAGCAUCCAUUUUUUUAAAAAUGAAUAGUAAGCAUGGACUUAUGUCAAGUUGUUCUAAAUAUUUGAAGAAAUGGAACAAAACAUCUGUUACUCAAUUAUUAAGGAUGUGAAUUUAAGCAUGGAUGCAAUUUGGGUACUCCUCAUAAUGGAAUCGUGAAUUGUUUGGAGGUCUGUUCAAACCCAUUUUUCUAUGAUUCAAUAUGGAUUCAAAAUCAAACUGCUUUUACUAUAUAGUAAAUAAGGAUACAUCUUCAAAAUAAACACAGAUGGAUCCUAAAACUAGAGGCUCUCAAGAGCCUGUGUUGCUCACCUUGGUCUAUGUGCAUAUUAACAAUGGACACAGGACAAAAUGGUGUUUUGGUGAUGGUAAUGUGUUUGUAGAUCUUUCUUUACUGAAUAUUCCUGUUGCUACAAUUAUCUCUAUCUAUAAUGAACUUGGCCCAGUAAUUACAGUGGAAAAUAUUUCCUAAAAAUUUACAAAAAUUUAUGAAAAUUGUUAACAAUUGACUAUAAAGGGCAAUAACUCCUUAAGGGGUCAAUUGACAAUUUUGGUCAUGUUAACUUAUUUGUAGAUCUUAUUUUUCUGAACAUUAUUGCUGUUUACAGUUUAUCUCUAUCUAUAAUAAUAUCCAGAUAAUAACCAAUAUCUGCAAAAUUUCCUUAAAAUUACUAAUUUCGGGGGCAGCAACCCAACAACAGGUUGUCCGAUUUGUCUGAAAAUUUCAGGGCAGAUAGAUCUUGACCUGAUAAACAAUUUAACCCCCAGGUCAGAUUUGCUCUUAAUGCUUUGGUUUCCGAGAUAUAAGCCAAAAUCUACAUUUCACCUCUAUGUUCUAUUUUCAGCCAUGGUGGCCAUCUUGGUUGGUUGGCCGGGUCACGCCACACAUUUUUUAAACUAGAUACCCGAAAGAUGAUUGUGGCCAAGUUUGGUUUAAUUUGGCCAAGUAGUUUCAGGAGAAGAUUUUUGUAAUAGAUUUACGAAAAAUGGUUAAAAAUUGACUAUUAAGGGCAAUAACUCCUAAAGGGGUCAACUGACCAUUUCGGUCAUGUUGACUUAUUUGUAAAUCUGACUUUGCUGAACAUUAUUGCUUUUUACAGUUUAUCUCUAUCUAUAAUAAUAUUCAAGAUAAUAGCCAAAAAACGGUAUAACUUCCUUAAAAUUGCCAAUUCCAGGGCAGCAACCCAACAACGGGUUGUCUGAUUCGUCUGAAAAUUUCAGGGCAGAUAGAUCUUGACCUGAUAAACAAUUUAACCCAUGACAGAUUUGCUCUAAAUGCUUUGGUUUCAGAGUUAUAAGCCAAAAACUGCAUUUUACCCCUAUGUUCUAUUUUUAGCCAUGGUGGCCAUCUUGGUUGGUUGGCCUGGUCACGCCACACAUUUUUUAAAUAAGAUACCCCUAUGAUGAUUGUGGCCAAGUUUGGUUUAAUUUGGGCCAGUAGUUUCAGAGGAGAAGAUUUUGUAAAAGCUAACGACGACGACGGACGCAAAGUGAUUAGAAAAGCUCACUUGGCCCUUCGGCCCAGAUGAGCUAAAACGUAGGUGAAAAAACUGUCAAAAUAGGUGCAAUUUGGGUACCCUCUAUUUGCAUCAUCAUUAGAACAUUUCAACAAAAACAAUUUACAUUAUCCCUAAAACAGGUCAACAAACACACAUACAUCAUCAAGGAACAUUUCAAAAAACAAAUGUACAUAAUCAGAACACAUUAUUACAUGACAAUAGUUAAAAAUAAAACCAAAACUUUUUUUCAUAUAUAUAAAUUAUAUUUUUGUGUAUGCAACCACCUCAAAUGAGAAAUUUUGAGAAAAAAAAAAAGACUUAGCAUCUGUAAUUUGACAAGCAAUAGUGAUUGAUAUAAUAGUCUGUUUGACAAUUCCCUGUAAUUGAUCCUGUAAUUAGAGAUCCCUUUUUUGGUUGUCUCCCUUAGAAGGCACAUUAACUUUAAUUGACAAUGGAGAGCUAGCAGAAAGUGCAAAUUUAUAAGUGAGUAAUGUGUGUAACCUUUAAAUUUUUCAAAUCAUUAAGUAACAUUUAAUUUGUUUAAUUUUAUUGUAGUAUAAUAAACCAAUCUUUUAUGGAGAUUGAAUCUUAUUUGUUGUUACAGCUUUUACAUUAAUGCUAGCAAGACAAAUCUUUGUUUGGCUUGCUUGCUUUCUUUCUAUGUAAAUACUUUUGAUACCAGAAGUUAAUUUUCAAUAAAAAUUUGUUAAAAGGCCUAUAUAUCACUUUGAACUUAUGCUUGAGUGGGCAAAGGCCAAUUUUGUCCAGCAGAGAAACAGUCUACGAUUGACAUUAAGUGGGAAAAAGCAAAUUUUGUCCAGCAUAUAAAGUCUACAAUUGACAAAGGGAAGUAAUUUCUUUAAAAUUGUGUAAUAACAGAAUUAAAUCAGUAAUUGGCAAAUGGACUAUUUGAACACAACUUUUCCAAAGACAUCUUUAAUAUCCUAACAUAUGAAAACCUUGUAAGGUGAUUGAUUAUAUUAAAAGAAGGCAAAUAAUAAAUGUUAAGAUUGUGGACAGUUAUUUAUGACUAGACAAAAAUUAAAGAAGUCAAAUAAAGCAAACAUAGAUCAUGCCGACUCAUUUCGUUUUUGUUACAGGUAUGUAUUAUGCAUGUAUUGUGGGGAAAAAAAAACAAAAUCAUUGAACCUGAACACAAAAAUAUACAAGUCAUUCAAGCACGAGUAUAAAAAUUGUACAUGAAGAUUGUAAUGAUCAAAUAUCAUAUAUAUUUAGCCACAGGUUCUUGAGAAAAAUAUUUAAGAUACAUAACAAGACCAGACCAACAUGUGAAAACAAACAAAGCUAAAUCUAUGUUUGUAACAUAUUUAGAGGUGAUCAAAAUAACGACACCCAAACUUUGUCUUUAUCUAUCAGAUUAUAAAAAUUCUAGCACCUAUGCACGUAAUUAAACAAUAAAACAAUAUAACAUAUGUAUAAAACAACAAAAU